rnacentral:rRNA from 1 species
CCUACGGGAGGCAGCAGUGAGGAAUAUUGGUCAAUGGACGAGAGUCUGAACCAGCCAAGUAGCGUGAAGGAUGACUGCCCUAUGGGUUGUAAACUUCUUUUAUAAAGGAAUAAAACGAGGCACGUGUGCCUUUUUGCAUGUACUUUAUGAAUAAGGAUCGGCUAACUCCGUGCCAGCAGCCGCGGUAAUACGGAGGAUCCGAGCGUUAUCCGGAUUUAUUGGGUUUAAAGGGUGCGUAGGUGGGUUGUUAAGUAAGUUGUGAAAGUUUGCGGCUCAACCGUAAAAUUGCAAUUGAUACUGGCAGGCUUGAGUACAGUUGAGGUAGGCGGAAUGCGUGGUGUAGCGGUGAAAUGCUUAGAGAUCACGCAGAACCCCGAUUGCGAAGGCAGCUUACUAAACUACGACUGACGUUGAGGCACGAAAGUGUGGGGAGCAAACAGGAUUAGAUACCCCAGUAGUC